AAUAAGUGCAGCCAUAAGUUUCCAUGUCCAACUUUAAGUAUCCGUCUUAUUUGAAAUUUUUUUAUGAUUAGUAUUUUUAUUGUUAUUAGAUUAUAAAAUACGAGUAGUAACUUAUGUUUUUUAGAUUUUUCAAAAAGAAUUCAAAUAAAACGAACGGUUAAAGUUGGACACAGAAACUUAUGGUUGCGUUUAUU
rfam:Oryza meridionalis cultivar OR44 (W2112) chromosome 5, whole genome shotgun sequence.